GAAUUUUCAAACAUAAACUUGAAAUCCACGAAGAAUGUUGAAGAAAAAUCAUUUAUAACUUACAGAUUUUAUAAUUUAGUAAACGUAUAAUCGACAAUGGGUGUGUGGUCAGCUGAAAUUAAAAGCAAUAAAGAUUUGUUGGAGAAGGUUUUCAGCCAAGACUGACCCCAAUCUCCAUCCUUAUCAGGACAAGGGUUCUAGAAGAGCAAUUUGAAGCAAGUUAACCGAAAGGGUGACAUAUGGUGGGGGUGUGGAUAUUUUGUCAUUUUCGUUAGCUAAAGGGAUUCCUCCAACGCCUUCAAUUUGACAAAAGGGACAGUGGCCCCCUAUUGCAGAACAGCAAUGC
rnacentral:lncRNA from 1 species